rnacentral:rRNA from 1 species
AACGAACGCUGGCGGCAUGCCUAACACAUGCAAGUCGAACGAAGUCUUCGGACUUAGUGGCGCACGGGUGCGUAACGCGUGGGAAUCUGCCCUUGGGUGCGGAAUAACUUCUCGAAAGGGAUGCUAAUACCGCAUAAUGUCGUAAGACCAAAGAUUUAUCGCCCAAGGAUGAGCCCGCGUAAGAUUAGCUAGUUGGUGGGGUAAAAGCCUACCAAGGCGACGAUCUUUAGCUGGUCUGAGAGGAUGAUCAGCCACACUGGGACUGAGACACGGCCCAGACUCCUACGGGAGGCAACAGUGGGGAAUAUUGGACAAUGGGCGAAAGCCUGAUCCAGCAAUGCCGCGUGAGUGAUGAAGGCCCUAGGGUUGUAAAGGCUCUUUUACCAGGGAUGAUAAUGACAGUACCUGGAGAAUAAGCUCCGGCUAACUCCGUGCCAGCAGCCGCGGUAAU